rnacentral:rRNA from 1 species
GACGUAGGAUGCGAGCGUUAUUCGGAUUUAUUGGGCGUAAAGCGUGCGUAGGCGGCUAUUUAAGUCUGGUGUUAAAGCUAGGGGCUCAACCCCUGUGAUGCACUGGAUACUGGGUAGCUUGAGUGCGGUAGGGGAAGGUGGAAUUCCGAGUGUAGCGGUGAAAUGCGCAGAUAUCAGGAAGAACACCCGUGGCGAAGGCGGCUCUCUGGGACGGUACUGACGCUGAGACGCGAAAGCGUGGGGAGCGAACAGG